rnacentral:rRNA from 1 species
UACGUAGGUGGCAAGCGUUGUCCGGAUUUACUGGGCGUAGAGAGCGCGCAGGCGGUCGUUCAAGUCGCGUGUGAAAGCCCCCGGCUCAACUGGGGAGGGUCACGCGAUACUGAUCGACUCGAAGGCAGGAGAGGGUAGUGGAAUUCCCGGUGUAGUGGUGAAAUUCGUAGAUAUCGGGAGGAACACCGGUGGCGAAGGCGGCGACCUGGGUCGAGACUGACGCUGAGGCGCGAAAGCGUGGGGAGCAAACAGG